AGGACCUGGGAGCAGAUGAGAGGAUGCUGUGAGCACCGAAUCAACUAUAUGGACCGAGAGGCUCACCUCGGCCAAGGCCAGGGCAGAGAAGGGCGUGUCCUCGGCAGGUUUCACCACCACCGUGCAGCCUGCUGCCAGGGCGGCCCCCACCUUCCUCGUGAUCAUGGCGCUGGGGAAAUUCCACUGGAUCAAAAGAAAGAGGAGUGCCGUGACAGUCCUGGCCUGACCA